rnacentral:lncRNA from 1 species
CUGCUUAGUUAGGGCUUGUUGAGUUUUCAGUUGCAUCGGUUGUGUCGAGUUGCUAGUCUUAGUUUUAGUCCUUUAGAGUUUCAAGUUCUUAUCACGUUCUAGUCAUAGCCAUGUGCUACCAUAUAAACCCCCUAUUGGCUGAAUCUGAGUACAUCUUUAUGUUCAAGUCUGACUAGGACUUUGAGUUGUUUGAGUCCGAAUCCCAUGUGGUGUUGAAGUUCGAGUUGGAAUCGGGUUUGAGUCCGAAAUGGUUGCUGCACCGUGUUACCAAAUCUUGUUGCUGUUGCGCUUGUACUAGAUAUAUUGAAGUGUUUUAGAAAGGCAGCAGUAGUUCAUACCUAUACUCGACUUCUCCACGUUGUGCAUAUUCCAUAAGCUCGGCUUACAAAAUUUCUUUUUUACCAAAAUACCCUUGUAUUUUCGAAAAAAGUGUGUGUGGUGUUUCACUCUUGAGAAGCCCCUGUGUUUAUAUAAUUAGUUUUUGAGGAUCCCCUAAAAAAAGAAGAGAAAAGAAAAAAAGGAAGAAAAUGGGUUGUUCGUUGUGCUUCUCUAUUGUUUCCGGUGGUGUGUUGUGAUGUCCUUUAUGUCCAGGCUCGCACCUCUAGUACGGUCUAGGCUAGGACCAGCAAAGUACUGUCAUUGAAUGAUUAUUCAGUCUGCUUUUGUGACUAACAUGGUGCUAGUACUUCCUUGCUUCAGCCCACCUACAGCUCCACAUAUUUCAACUACAGCUUGACAGGUCUUAUUGCUGCGGUAUCGAUACACUUCGUUUUACAGUUGCAGACUUGUUGGUUGUCGUCC